UGCUUCCAUUUGAGCUACCUACAGAAUAUCUACGCUAUGUAUGGGGCAGCACAUGUAUCAUAAAACCUAUCAUUCAUAAUCAAAGCAAAUGACAUGUAAUUCUUGAUCAAAAGAUGUUCAUUUGCUCUUUUGAAGUUUUCAACAACGGACGUACAUCAAUAUUACCUGAAUUCUUUGUGGCCGAGUGAAACCGAGGACCAAAGACCCAUUUGGGACAAAAGACCUAACAGAAUAAGCAUGUAAGCGCAAUGAAAUUUUGAAAACAAAAAACAUUAAACAUACUAGGCCACUAGUAUAUCCCCAUGAUGGUAACUACAGUUCCAAAUAGAGAUGCGGACCAACUUGAAACACUUCCUGCACACGGAGCAUCUGAGAGUUUAAACAAAUAGAGAUCACCAAGAGCUCACAAUACGUUUUGCAGGAGAUGUGGAGUUUUGUUCUGCAAAGAAAGGGAGAGGUUAUAACAGAGUCCAACAGUGCAAAAUGAAGUAAUGGAACAAUUUGUUUGGAAAAUUCAAUUUAAGAAUGGAGCUGAAAGAAGACACAACACGAGGGAGGAUAUAAUUCCAAAAACCAAGAACCCGUACUCAUGUGUGUCAAACAAACCUUUUAACAAAAACCAAACCCUUAGUUGACUGGCAUAAACAAUUCUUUCUACCUUAAUCGGAAGAGGUGAGAGCUAGAAUUGCAAAAAAAAAUCAAGUCAAAUGGAGAGUCAAAGACAACCUACACUAGUCCAUAUAAGCGAAUUAGGAAAUCACUGGAAUUUCAAUAAACUCACAUUCUGGAGAAAUCUAAACUCAAAAUCUUCUUAUUCGACCAAAAAAGCUUACAUCGUUAAAAAGUAACAAAACGUUGUUUACAUCCCAGUACAGAAAAUACUGACCAUUACCUAGGGAGUAUCAUCAAGGCCCUGUCACAUGAAAGACUUUAUACAAGAAUGCGUAUAAUAUGGAAUGUGAAAAUAGCUUUGUAUUUCUAUAUCCUAUUCCCAUGUCAAAUGCAUGUACCUAUCAUAUGAUCAACCAAGAAACAAUCUUAAGAAAUGCAAGAAUGAAACGUGAGACAGAGCAAGAAUAUCUACCUCAGAUAUACUUCGACCUGAUUUGGAAGAGCCAGUAUCCGAGUCCUGAUAGCCGUCGGCAUUCUUCUGCUUCCUAGUUGCAAUUGAAGACGAGGCAGUCCAAAAAUGAGUUGAGGUUGAGCAGUUCU
rnacentral:lncRNA from 1 species